ACAGCUUCCUUCACGCAUGUUGUUCAUCCUCCUCCGCUUCAACUUCCCAUCUUACCUUGAUUCUAUCAACAAACCCUAAUGAAGAAUAUACCCGAUCAAUCCAUCUCAACGCGAUUCUUCAUCUUUCGUCCAUCCCUUCUUCGUUGUGUUCUACUAUAUAUCACUAGCAGGUACGAUUUUUGAUUUUCCUCACAAAACCUCAUCAAAAAAUGAUCCCCUCUCUGAAACGGCGCUGUCGAGAUCUUAUCAAGUUUCGCCCCAAGAUGAUGUUCAACUACACCGGAAAUUUGUAAUCAGAAGUUGCUUCUCUCUCAUUUGUUUUACAUAUCAACCUUUGAUUAUUGUCUGAAUCUGCAGAAAUUUCUUGAAGGAUACUUAGGUAUCUUCAUUAGGCAUCUUCAUCAUCAACACCGUUUCUACACAGGGUUUUUAGGGCUUAUUACAACAGGUGAAAUCUUGUGCUCGAUUUAUAAAGGUGAUUAUGAACUGACUUCAGCGGAUCAGCCAAUGUUCAUCCUUUGUUUGAUAUUGAAGACAAUCUCUUCUUUAACUCCAUUAUUUGUCAUGUUCUGAACAACAAGAUGGAUAAGGAUAAAGCAGCAGCAGUCUGACUAAAAUGUGAAAUUACAUUUUUUUAUCUCGGUGAGUUAAAAGAAGGUCUGGUACUUUUAGCAGAUGAGGUGUAUCAGGAUAUCCCCUUGGUUUCUUUUCACUCAUUCAAAAAUAUGUCAUUCUAUGGGAUAUGGUGACAAGGAUAUCUCCUUGGUUUCUUUUCAAUCGGUGUCUAAAGGAUAUCAUGGUGAGUGUGGGAAAUCCGCAAAGUUACAUGGAGGUAACUGGUUUUAGUUCUGAAGUUAGGGAAUAAUUUUACAAGGUGGCGUCUGUGAAUCUUUGUUCAAAUAUUUCUGGUCAAAUUCUUGCAAGCCUUGUCAUGAGCCCUCCUAAGGUUGGAGAUGAAUCCUAUGACGCAUAUUUUUGUGAGAGAGAUGGGAUCCUGAAAUCACUGGCAAGACGCGCUAAGAUGCAUUUAACAGCUUUGAGGGUGUUAGUUGCAACAAAGCAGAGGGAGCAAUGUACCUAUUUCCACAGAUUAAACUGCCAAAGAAAGUAAUAAAAGCAGUAGACCAGGCUAAAAAAGCGACAGAUACUUACUAUGUUAUCCAUCUCCUUAAUGCCACUGGUGUUGUUAGGGUUCCAGGCAGUGGUUUUGGUCAGGUCCCGGGAACGUGGCAUUUUAGGUGCACGAUAUUGCCUCAGGAGGACAAGAUUCCAGCCAUCGUUUCACAGUUGACAGAUUUCCACACAAGCUUCAUGAAUGAAUUCCGGCCAAGGAUUUACGAGCUUCUCUUGAUAACGGAGAGGAGCUUGGAAUGCCGGAUGGGGUUCUGAUUAAUGGCAAGGGACCGUUUAAGUAUAGUUCCGUUGUUCCGGAUGGCAUUAACCAUACAACGCUUAACGUUGAUCCAGGAAAAACUUACAGAAUUCGCGUGAUCAAUGUUGGAGUCUCAACGUGUUUGAAUUUUCGGAUUCAGAGCCACAUUUUGCUUCUAGCAGAAGCCGAGGGACAUUAUACAUCCACGUGGGACAGUCUUACUCUUUUCUGGUUAAUAUGGAUCAAAACGCAAGUAGCGAUUUUUACGUUGUAGCAAGCCCGAGAUCUGUUAAUGAAUCAGUUUGGCAAUGCGUCACAGGCGUUGCUAUUUUGCACUAUUCAAACUCCAAAGGACAUGCCUCGGGUCCUCUACCCGACGCCCCAAACGACGUAUAUGAUCGUUCAUUUGCAUUGAAUCAAGCCAUGUCCAUCAGGUUUGAGGCUCAUGUGAACCUUACAAGAUAAAAAAAAAUAUGCAUCCAAGAAGCAGUUUUUGUUCUCAGUGUUUGAAUAAAUUGAUGGUUAUUUAAUAAAAACAACGAUUUCUAUUUAGUUCCAUUUCCCGCAGUGAUGGUGGUGUUUCUAGGGAUGAGCAAAUGGUAACGGUUCGAAACCGGUACCGAAUUUCCCAACAGCUUGUCGGGUCAGAUAUACUGUGCCCGUGGUCAGAUAUACUUGUAUUAGAUGAAUAUAGAACAGAGUUGGAGCAAGGGGAUUUCUAUGCUCGUGGUCUUGCUAUCAUGAGAGUUAUGCUUAAGGUAAAGACGGGUCGUUUGAGUUCAUCAAAAGUCCUUUUGUCUAAAAGGAUCUACAAGGAAAUGGCAAUUAAAGGCAAGGAGAUAUACUAGAGCGAAAUGACGCAUUACAAAGUGGAGGCGAGUUUAAUAUGUUAUUCUUUUUGUAUGAUUUUAAUUAAGUAUUAAUCAAUCAUAAAUAGUUUAAUAUGUCAUUCUUUUUGUAUGAUUUUAAUAUGUCAUUCUUUUUGUAUGAUUCCAGUUUGGUUUUAUUUCCUUGAAAAAAUUUUGUUAUCUAUUUCUCUAGGUAUAUAUUACAUAGAGUAUGAGUGUGAAAAGUGAUUGAGGAAGUCAAAGCCGUUACAAUCCUUUGGGUCAAAAAAAAAAAUAGAUCGAAAUAAGUUGUAAUAUAUUUUUGGCCGUGUCUUGGCGCUUUAUUUUGGGUUUGUAUUGUAGUAUGGCUUCUGGUGGUCAAGAUUUGAUAUGGCCUCUUUCUCUGUCUCCACUCUCAAAACCCUAGCUCCGCACCAUAUUCUUCAAAAAUGAGGGUGGAAUGCGACAUAGAUGAUGAGAAUCCGAGUCUAGAUUCGACUUACUAGGUUUGUAUUCAUCUUUUAAUCGUUAUAUAUGUUUUUAGGGUUCUUACGUGUGCUUUUAAUUCAGCAAGUUUAUUCAUAUUAGAAGAAAUAAUGAAGAAAUUGUUCUUCAUUGAUUUUUGGGAGCCGAAAUUCAGUGUCAAUUUAGGGUUUGUUAUUGUUUAAAAUCAACUUUGUUCAUCGAUCAAUCAUUUAGUUUUGAAAUUAGUUGAAAUAAGGGAUUGUUUAUGUGAUAAACCAAUGUGUGUGUAGAAUAUUUUGUGCAGUUGCGUGUUUCAAAAACGAAGAUGAAGGAGCGGAGGUGAAAGAGAACACAAACAAGAUUUUAGCCGUCUUUUUUGCUGAAUUUGGUAUUACAAGUGAUGCAGCAUUGAAGGUCGGUACGUUCGAGUUGGGUCGCGUCGGGUCAUUUGUUUAUUAAAUGUAUCCCAUGUGGGAAUUGAGUUUGGUUAGGAUGAUAAGUAGUGGAGUUCUGUUUUUCUUUAAUUUCUUGAUCACUCAAAUGAAGUUGGUUAAAUUUUUCGCAUUUUUA